CGCACGCUCCCGUAGCCGUCUACGUAUUAUCCUAAAAUCUUUCACCCCGUCUCUCUCGCUCGUCGCUGUUGUCGCCAUCGUCGUCGCCGCCUUCAACGUUUCCAUUGUCGCGCUCGCCCUCUAGUGCCUACAAUGUUGGCGUCGUCUCCCUCGCCCUCGUCUUCCCUAUCGCCCUUUCCGUCCAUUGCCGCCGCAUCACAUCCUCGCCCUCGCCAUCCACCGCCGCCUCGAACGUUCCUGCUCUCACCGUUGCCUUCGCCUUCCGCUGGCUCCAAUGUCCUCUGCAUCCCCCUCGCCCUAAAUGUCCGCUGUCAUCGUCCUCAACCUCCCCGUCGUCUCCAUCCGGCCCGACUCCAUCUCGAGGGUGGCUCAGUAUACGGUGAUCGUGCUCUCCCAUGCGGAGAGGACUCUAGUAGCCACCGAGAGAGCUCAAUCAUACGCUGAGAGAGAUGCAGAAUCUUACCAUCUUGCUACAGCAGCCGCUCGGAGUGCGCUAGCAGCCGUCAGGACUGCACGAACAGCCGCUGAAGCUGCAAAGACCGCCCUAGCCGAGAUCGAGAAGAUGAUUGGUGACGAGGAGAUCUCUUGAAAGAGUUGAGCUUUUACUUGUGAACUAGUGGUGCACUGCUUUUAUGUGAUCUAUAUGAUCGAUGUGUGUGAACUUAUAUUCAUGUUGCUAUGACGGUGCUGAACUUUUGUCUAUCAAUUACUUGUGCACUGGCUUUA